rnacentral:rRNA from 1 species
AAUGAACGCUGGCGGCAGGCCUAACACAUGCAAGUCGAACGGAUCCUUCGGGAUUAGUGGCGGACGGGUGAGUAACGCGUGGGAACAUACCCUUUGGUACGGAAUAGCCUCGGGAAACUGGGAGUAAUACCGUAUGUGGUCGAGAGACGAAAGAAUUAUCGCCAAAGGAUUGGCCCGCGUUGGAUUAGGUAGUUGGUGGGGUAAUGGCCUACCAAGCCGACGAUCCAUAGCUGGUUUGAGAGGAUGAUCAGCCACACUGGGACUGAGACACGGCCCAGACUCCUACGGGAGGCAGCAGUGGGGAAUCUUAGACAAUGGGGGAAACCCUGAUCUAGCCAUGCCGCGUGAUCGAUGAAGGCCUUAGGGUUGUAAAGAUCCUUCAGGUGGGAAGAUAAUGACUGUACCACCAGAAGAAGCCCCGGCUAACUCCGUGCCAGCAGCCGCCGUAA